rnacentral:rRNA from 1 species
AGCCAUGCAUGUCUAAGUACAAAUUGUGGUAAAAUGAAACUGCGAAUGGCUCAUUAAAUCAGCUACGGUUCACUGGGUAGCCACAGUUACUUGGAUAACUGUGGUAAUUCUAGAGCUAAUACAUGCAAUUAUGCCCACGCCUCACGGCAAGGGCGCACUUAUUAGAUCAAAACCAAUCUGGCUUCGGCUGGUAGUUUUGAUGACUCUGGAUAAUUGGGGGAUCGCAGGACUCAAUGUCGGCGAUUAGCCCUUCAAAUGUCUGCCCUAUCAACUAUAGAUGGUAUAUAACCUGUGUACCAUGGUGUUCACGGGUAACGGGGAAUCAGGGUUCGAUUCCGGAGAGGGAGCCUGAGAAACAGCUACCACAUCCAAGGAAGGCAGCAGGCGCGCAAAUUACCCACUCUCAAAACGAGGAGGUAGUGACAAAAAAUAACGAUGCGGGACUCAAUCGAGGCCCCGUAAUCGGAAUGAGUACACUUUAAAUCCUUUAACGAGGAUCAAUUGGAGGGCAAGUCUGGUGCCAGCAGCCGCGGUAAUUCCAGCUCCAAUAGCGUAUAUUAAAGUUGUUGCAGUUAAAAAGCUCGUAGUUGGAUCUAAGGAUUUGGUCUGACGGUUUGCCUUAUGGUGACACUGUUGGACCUGCCUAUAAAUGUCGUGGAGGCCUUUAGUGUUCUUAAUUGAGUGCUUUUGGUGCCCGACGCUAUUACUUUGAGAAAAUUAGAGUGCUUAAAGCAGGCAUAAUGCUUGUAUACUGUUGCAUGGAAUAAUGAAAUAAGAGUUUACUUUUAUUUUGUUGGUAUUCGGAAGUGAACUAAUGAUCAAAGGGA